rnacentral:rRNA from 1 species
GAUGAACGCUAGCUACAGGCUUAACACAUGCAAGUCGAGGGGCAUCAGGAAGAAAGCUUGCUUUCUUUGCUGGCGACCGGCGCACGGGUGAGUAACACGUAUCCAACCUGCCCUUUACUCGGGGAUAGCCUUUCGAAAGAAAGAUUAAUACCCGAUAGCAUAAUGAUUCCGCAUGGUUUCAUUAUUAAAGGAUUCCGGUAAAGGAUGGGGAUGCGUUCCAUUAGGUUGUUGGUGAGGUAACGGCCCACCAAGCCUUCGAUGGAUAGGGGUUCUGAGAGGAAGGUCCCCCACAUUGGAACUGAGACACGGUCCAAACUCCUACGGGAGGCAGCAGUGAGGAAUAUUGGUCAAUGGGCGCUAGCCUGAACCAGCCAAGUAGCGUGAAGGAUGAAGGCUCUAUGGGUCGUAAACUUCUUUUAUAUAAGAAUAAAGUGCAGUAUGUAUACUGUUUUGUAUGUAUUAUAUGAAUAAGGAUCGGCUAACUCCGUGCCAGCAGCCGCGGUAAUACGGAGGAUCCGAGCGUUAUCCGGAUUUAUUGGGUUUAAAGGGAGCGUAGGUGGACUGGUAAGUCAGUUGUGAAAGUUUGCGGCUCAACCGUAAAAUUGCAGUUGAUACUGUCAGUCUUGAGUACAGUAGAGGUGGGCGGAAUUCGUGGUGUAGCGGUGAAAUGCUUAGAUAUCACGAAGAACUCCGAUUGCGAAGGCAGCUCACUGGACUGCAACUGACACUGAUGCUCGAAAGUGUGGGUAUCAAACAGGAUUAGAUACCCUGGUAGUCCACACAGUAAACGAUGAAUACUCGCUGUUUGCGAUAUACAGUAAGCGGCCAAGCGAAAGCAUUAAGUAUUCCACCUGGGGAGUACGCCGGCAACGGUGAAACUCAAAGGAAUUGACGGGGGCCCGCACAAGCGGAGGAACAUGUGGUUUAAUUCGAUGAUACGCGAGGAACCUUACCCGGGCUUAAAUUGCAGUGGAAUGAUGUGGAAACAUGUCAGUGAGCAAUCACCGCUGUGAAGGUGCUGCAUGGUUGUCGUCAGCUCGUGCCGUGAGGUGUCGGCUUAAGUGCCAUAACGAGCGCAACCCUUAUCUUUAGUUACUAACAGGUUAUGCUGAGGACUCUAGAGAGACUGCCGUCGUAAGAUGUGAGGAAGGUGGGGAUGACGUCAAAUCAGCACGGCCCUUACGUCCGGGGCUACACACGUGUUACAAUGGGGGGUACAGAAGGCAGCUAGCGGGUGACCGUAUGCUAAUCCCAAAAUCCUCUCUCAGUUCGGAUCGAAGUCUGCAACCCGACUUCGUGAAGCUGGAUUCGCUAGUAAUCGCGCAUCAGCCACGGCGCGGUGAAUACGUUCCCGGGCCUUGUACACACCGCCCGUCAAGCCAUGGGAGCCGGGGGUACCUGAAGUACGUAACCGCAAGGAUCGUCCUAGGGUAAAACUGGUGACUGGG